GAGGGGACCACAACCAUUUCUUUUGGCACAAGACUUUAUUCACAUUAGAGAGAUAGAGAAUAAACAGAGAAGAGAAUUGAGGGAGAACGAGACAGCAACGGAGAGGGCACAACUGGGAGGACGUUAAGGAUAGAUGGCGAGAAAAAGAGCGCAGAAACAUCACGCUUCUUCUGCUUUCAAUACCAAAAUAUAGAUAUGACCGUCUUACUCAUAAAACACCAUGUAAAUUCAGUUUUUUUGAUAUUUUAAUUGUUUCUCCUUCACCGGAGAAGCAUUAGCCUUGAACCAAAUUCUCCAUAACCACCAACCGUAAAGUUCAAUCUCUUUCUUCCACUACUCAUGCCAUUAAACUCCACAUAUCUGAAAUUCAUCAACCACUGACCAACAGAGGCUCUUUUUCUUUCUUAAAGUUCAGGUCAUCUUUUUGAGCUUCGUUGUUCUCUGGGUUGAGUACGUAGAGUUCAAGUUCGUCGACUAGAUUUGAGUUUCUCCGGUGAGGUUCGGUCAGUCCGUUUCCUGUCGAGGUUCGGCCGUGGUCAUGUGCAUUGUCAUGUUUUAAAACAGUCAGUCGCAUAUAUUUAGAGGUGCAACCAUAAAGGUUUCCUCUGAUCAAUUGUAUCGAAUCCAUAAAUGACUGUCAUAAGACAGUUCAUUGGAAUCUUUCUUCCUAUUAUAUUACAGUGCAUUGACCGAAAAGUCUGAUCUAGCACUGUUAUAUCAUGAAGGUACUCAACUGUUAUUAUUUAUAUCUUUUGUUGGUACUUCUUAUAUUCCAUACCAACCAAGACAUCAGGAAGGGUUGAUGGGCCACCUGCAGAUGGUGGCUUCAAGUUAGCCAUCACAGCUACACUUGAGUGUUUAGUAGGUCCUUGCUUUCCCCGCGUUAUCACUGCUUUAACAUGUUCAUAGAUGUAACCCCAUGCUCCUUGCUUGGGAUCACUGCCUGCUCUUGGCCAUUCCUGAUGAAGGAGCUAACACAACUCAUGUACUCCUCCAUAUUUGUUUCACUAGCUGAGAUCUCUUUUUUCUGGGCUGAUGGUCCUGCUUGACCUCUUCCUUGCCGGUUUUUGCACAAUCAUGCCCAAGUUUUAAAUAUUUUUCACAAAAAUUUGGUUUCUAAUCAUAUUUAACUGUCUGUUCAAAUAUUCUGUCUGAGUCAUCCAUGACUGGCACCUUGUUUGGGAGAGGUUUGGUAACAUUCACUUCAAUAAGUAUUCGAGAAAAAGAAAUUCUAGAUUGUUUAACAGUGCGCUCAUCUGCAAACAGUUAAAUUUCUAUUAUACUUGCAAUACGACCAAAUUAGUUACUUCCCUAGCAGUUCAUUGGGAGCUUAGGAAACCUUACCCACAGUGGAAUCUCAGUUAAUUCUAAGUCAAAAUCAAAUUGUGGACUUCAUUAUUUCAUUAUCAUAGGCCUGUUAUUAACUGUGAGAGGUCCAGCACAUAGAUUUUUCUUCAUAUCUGCCAUGGAAUGGAACCUGACUAUGAAGUAACCAUGAUCAUGAGAGUAUAGAUCUGGCAUAGUCACAGUAUUCCACAUUUGAUUUAUGUAUCUAUGCAUAUAGUUAUACCUUUGCUUUUCCCCAAUCGCAUAGAUAAUUAGGGCACACUUCCAUUUCAUAGUUUCUGUCUCAAGUUCUGAUUCUCGAGCUUAGCUACUAGAUUACCUUCUACAAGCUCAGGGGUGAUGUAGUUCAGAGCCAAACCAUUAGCAGCUGAUCUAUAGCCAGAGUACUCCAGCCCAAGUGGACUCCUUGGUCACUUCCGAUGACGGAACAGUAAUCGGUAGUGGUGUUUGGGCUUGGUUUCCAACCUUGUGAUCUUUACCCUUCAAUGGAACAGUAGCAUUGCGAGGAGGUGGAGGUGUGACUCUACCCUUAGGUCGACAUGCAGGGGAAUAGGACUCUGAUUUUCUCUUUUUUGUUGUUGAGCCGAUUCAGAAGCUUCACCAUAAGGGAUCUGGGUGAGGAUUCCAGAUCCUACCUAGGUUUUGGAAGCUCCGGAAAUGGACUCCAUAACAGCUGAUGAACUGCUUCCUGUGUUUUGAGCUUAAGAUUUUGUUAUCUACCUUGAUUUGUUGCUUCUUAGGACGACCCCAUGACUUCUUUACUUUCUAUAUUAUUAUUUUUAUAACAAUAUAGGAAUAGUGCUGAAUAGGAUGUAUUAAUAAUGCUAAUAUUAGUAAAAUUAUGAUUAAUUAUG